AUUUCAUUAAGAUACCUCACAUACCAUCAAUGCGGUAUAAAGUCACUCAGAUUUUCGAAAAUUUUUGAUUUAUUUUUAUAUUGAUAGUAGGCAUGGUUGUAAUACGAUUUCAAUUUUUGUACUGUGACAUAGGAAUUUUAAAAGAAUCUUACGUACCGAAUUUGGUUGAAAUCGGUUGGGCAGGUCCAGAGAGCCCUCUUGUGCCAUCCAGGAUGUAAAAUGUAAUGUCUCUGACGCAUUUAGUUGUUGAUUCAACGCACAAUCAACAACCUUCAAGUGGAAUGAAGUUUAAUUAGCUGUCUUCUUUUAUGAAGAUCUUUAUCUUGAUUUUAAUCGCGUUGCGUUGGGCAAUAAUUUAUCCAAAAUGUCGUGAAUAUAUCUUAUCAAAUAUAAAUAUUUUCAAAACAAGAAUCUGAUUUUGUUCGACCAGUUUGCAGCGAUAUCCUAUAGUGGUCAUAUAUCGGCGCUUCUGGGAAGAAAUGCGCAAAAUUUCAGAUCGAUACUUCAAAAUUGUUAGAGACUUCACGUAUAUACUGAUGGACGAACAUGGCUAAAUCGACUCAGUUACGCUGAUAAUUAUAUAUAUAUUUUAACGAAUCUUGAGGAAAACAACGACACUUCUUCACCUUUUUUAGAAAGCACAACAAUUGGUCAGAUAAUUGCAUAUAUUUAUACUCUUGCAACAUGUAUGUUUGCAUCACCUAAAACUAAUCGAGUUAGAUAUAGGGUCGAAAUUUAUGAUAUUUUAAUGAAAUUAAGUGGAAACGUUUUUUUAAAGGUUAUAUUAAUGGUUUGGCGCUCAAUAUACCAUAAAUGUAAUUGGCCUCAGUCUGAACCUCAUAUCAAUAUGCUAAAUUUUAGCCUCUUCGGUUGACUUUAUAUCACUUAUUAAUCUUUGAAGGAUGAUUUUAAUAUAAUUUUUGCUGACUGGAACUAAAAUAUAUUAAUACAAAUAAGUGACUCUCAAGAUUUGUUAAUAAUAUACCAAAUUUGAUUGUAAUCCAUUCAUCAUUUCGUUGAAAAAUGAAACUGAACCAUUUCGCUACAUUUUUUAAUAUUGCCAACACCUGAAGGUAUUUCCCCGGCUUUGAUCCUUGCAGGUUGCAAGAGUAUAAAAUGUUCGGUUACAACCGAAAUUAGCCUCUCCUUACUUGUUUCUAUACAGUUUUUUGUUCUUCAAACCUAAAUUAAGGACACGUAAGUUAACUAUUUAAAUCGAGGGCCCAUUUAGAUCGACUUCGAAAAUUAAUAAACACAAUAAAUAACUCAACAAGCAUUCCUCAAAUUAUUAUUUAUAUAUAUGAACCAUUUGAAUACAAUUCCCUGAACUUUAAAUUAUAAAAUAUUCAAUUCGAUUUGUAUGUGUAACUAUUUCCUUACCAAUUGUGUUUACUGUAAAAACAACAAUAUUUUCAAUAAAUAUUAUUUAUUAUUAUUA